rnacentral:rRNA from 1 species
GACGAACGCUGGCGGCGUGCUUAACACAUGCAAGUCGAACGGAAAGGCCCCGUUUGGGGUCCUCGCGUGGCGAACGGGCGGGUAACACGUGCGUAACCUGCCCUUCACUUCGGGAUAACUUCAUGAAACUGGGGCUAAUACCGGCCAGGAAUCCUUGCUUCCUGGUGGGGGUUGGAAAGCUUGGGGGGGUUUGGAUGGACUCGCGGCCUAUUAGCUUGUUGGUGGGGUGGGGGCUUACCAAGGCUUUGACGGGUAGGCGGCCUGGGAGGGCGACCGGCCACCUUGGGACUGAGAUACGGCCCAGACUCCCACGGGAGGGAGGCGGGGGGAAAAAUGCACAAUGGGCGGGAGCCUGAUGCAGCAACGGCGCGGGCGGGAGGACGGGCUUCGGGUUGGUAACCGCUUUCAGCAUGGGAGGAGCUGGUGGUGACGGUACCUGCAGAAGAAGCACCGGCUAACUACGUG